UACGAAGGGGGCUAGCGUUGUUCGGAAUUACUGGGCGUAAAGCGCGUGUAGGCGGGUCUUUAAGUCAGGGGUGAAAUGCCAAGGCUCAACCUUGGAACUGCCUUUGAUACUGGAGAUCUUGAGUUCGGGAGAGGUGAGUGGAACUGCGAGUGUAGAGGUGAAAUUCGUAGAUAUUCGCAAGAACACCAGUGGCGAAGGCGGCUCACUGGCCCGAUACUGACGCUGAGGCACGAAAGCGUGGGGAGCAAACAGG
rnacentral:rRNA from 1 species